UUUUGCAAUGGGCGUUGUUUAGUCUUUACUUAAAUUCGUUUGUAAACAUAGCGACAGAGAGUAGCGCUGUCUUGUGGCAAAAUAGUACAACUCCCUGUAUAAUAUUAUUUAAUCAAAAAUACGUAUGUUUCUCCUGGGACUAUAUAAAGGGGGAAUUAAAACUUUCUUUUUGACUCACAGAACCUUUAGACUCUAGUAGGCACGACUUUGAAUUCCAUUUCUCGGCCUUCAGCAGAAGGAAGGAAGUGAGUAGUUGGAAUAACAUUUCAUUCAUGGUCAUUUGGAUGGAUCUCUCCUACGUAGCAUUCGAAAUUAUGGAUUAACAUCCAUCAUUAUCCAUAUAGACAAUAUAUUUCUACAUUAUAUGCAUCAAUAACACUUAUCAAACGUCAGAAGGACUACUAGUUGCAAAUAAGCUAUGGAAAAAAACAUAUUAACUUCCGCAAUAUGACAAUGAAGGUAAAAUUGGCUACUCAACUCAUUAGUUCAUCUGUAGCAGAUGGGAUCGAGUUCUGUAAUAAGGAUCUUCAAUUACUGGAGUUUAGAAACUCUGAAGGAACAGUCGAGUUUCUUCAAACAUUUGAUAGAAUUUUUGAUUUCACCAACAGCAGAAGUUCAUUGGCAAAAUUAUUCAAAUCUCCUCUGAGAACUGGAAAUGAAGACUAUUGGAAACCAAUCGUUUUAAGAUAUGUUUUUAUAUAUUUCUGAAUUGAAGGAUUAAUUUGGUAAACCUUUGGUCAAAACGCGUAAAAGAACUGCUUUUGUUGGAUUUAUGGCAUGAAUUACUUCAAUUUGUGGCAUAUUUGACUCAAGUUUAAUCUAAAAGGAAUAAUUAUCUUCUAACUUACAAACUAUCUCAGGAUCAUAUGGAGUUAUUAUUUUAUGGCAUAAGGUCUCAUUUGGGAAGCAAUAAUAAUCCAACAUGUCCCAUGUUUUCCUUCAUUUAUAAGCGGCUAUUAAUUAGGCAUCAUGUCUCUGACAGUGGUAGUAAUUGCACAAGGCUGGAUGAUACAGUGGCGCUCUUCGCUACCUCAAAGAACAAGAGGAAACCAUCAUCAAGUUUUCUGAUUUCUUGAUGAUGAAGAUUUGUCAUUGAUCAAGAAGUAUGGCCUAGAGGAAAAACAUUUACUAAUUAGUGACCAUGACUAUUUCGAUGUGCCUCCUUUCAAUUUAAAGAAUGUGUUGUUGCUAUAUUGGUGAAUAUGUUAUCAAAUCAGUCUCUGAACAUUUAGUAUGUCCUGAGGGCUUGGAAUCUCUUUACAGCUACGUAACGGUCAGCCAUAGUUAUUCUUUGAUAGUAAGAAAAUCUAAUUGUGGUCUUUUGUUUCUAUCAAAAGACAUAGUAGAAAUAUGCAAAGAAACAGAAAAAUGCCUUUUGAGACUAAAAAUACAAGGAGCUCUAAA
rnacentral:lncRNA from 1 species